GCUGAAUGUGGGGAUAAUUUAUUUCCGUGUUGUAGCUAACGCGUUAAGCCCUCCGCCUGGGGACUACGGUCGCAAGACUAAAACUCAAAGGAAUUGACGGGGACCCGCACAAGCGGUGGAGCAUGUGGUUUAAUUCGAUGCAACGCGAAAAACCUUACCACUCCUUGACAUGGAGAUUAGAUCCUUCUUAACAGAAGGGCGCAGUUCGGCUGGAUCUCGCACAGGUGCUGCAUGGCUGUCGUCAGCUCGUGUCGUGAGAUGUUGGGUUAAGUCCCGCAACGAGCGUAACCCUCAUCCUUAGUUGCCAGCGGGUUAAGCCGGGCACUUUAAGGAAACUGCCAGUGGUAAACUGGAGGAAGGUGGGGAUGAUGUCAAGUCAGCACGGCCCUUAUGGGGUGGGCUACACACGUGCUACAAUGGUGACUACAAUAGGUUGCAAUGUCGCAAGGCUGAGCUAAUCCGUAAAAGUCAUCUCAGUUCGGAUUGUCCUCUGCAACUCGAGGGCAUGAAGUCGGAAUCGCUAGUAAUCGUGGAUCAGCAUGCCACGGUGAAUACGUUCUCGGGUCUUGUACACACUGCCCGUCACGCCAUGGGAAUUGGCUUAACUCGAAGCUGGUGCGCUAACCGAAAGGAAGCAGCCAU
rnacentral:rRNA from 1 species